rnacentral:rRNA from 1 species
GGGGAAUAUUGGACAAUGGGCGAAAGCCUGAUCCAGCCAUGCCGCGUGUGUGAAGAAGGCCUUUUGGUUGUAAAGCACUUUAAGCGAGGAGGAGGAGCUUCAGGUUAAUACCCUGGAUGCUUGGACGUUACUCGCAGAAUAAGCACCGGCUAACUCUGUGCCAGCAGCCGC